rnacentral:miRNA from 1 species
UCUGUGCCGGGCGCGUGCGAC